UACGGAGGGUGCAAGCAUUAAUCGGAUUUAUUGGGCGUAAAGGGCGCGUAGGCGGAGAGAAAAGUCAGAUGUGAAAUCCUGGGGCUCAACCUCAGAACAGCAUUUGAAACUUUCUUUCUAGAGGGUAGGAGGAGAAAACGGAAUUCCACAAGUAGCGGUGAAAUGCGUAGAUAUGUGGAAGAACACCGGUGGCGAAGGCGGCUAACUGGUCCAGUACUGACGCUGAGGUGCGAAAGCGUGGGGAGCAAACAGG
rnacentral:rRNA from 1 species